UACAGAGGGUGCGAGCGUUAAUCGGAAUUACUGGGCGUAAAGGGCGCGUAGGUGGUUAAUUAAGUUAGAUGUGAAAUCCCUGGGCUUAACCUAGGAAUUGCAUUUAAAACUGGUUGACUAGAGUGCGGUAGAGGGGAGUGGAAUUUCCGGUGUAGCGGUGAAAUGCGUAGAUAUCGGAAGGAACACCAGUGGCGAAGGCGACUCCCUGGCCCGUUACUGACACUGAUGCGCGAAAGCGUGGGGAGCGAACAGG
rnacentral:rRNA from 1 species